rnacentral:rRNA from 1 species
UACGAAGGGGGCUAGCGUUGCUCGGAAUCACUGGGCGUAAAGCGCACGUAGGCGGGUCGUUAAGUCAGGGGUGAAAUCCCGGAGCUCAACUCCGGAACUGCCUUUGAUACUGGGGAUCUUGAGUCCGGAAGAGGUGAGUGGAACUCCGAGUGUAGAGGUGAAAUUCGUAGAUAUUCGGAAGAACACCAGUGGCGAAGGCGGCUCACUGGUCCGGUACUGACGCUGAGGUGCGAAAGCGUGGGGAGCAAACAGG